GGAUGAAGAACGUAGCGAAAUGCGAUACGUAAUGUGAAUUGCAGAAUUCAGUGAAUCAUCGAGUCUUUGAACGCACAUUGCGCCCCCUGGUAUUCCGGGGGGCAUGCCUGUCCGAGCGUCAUUGCUGCCCCCAAGCACGGCUUGUGUGUUGGGCCUCCGUCCUCCUCCCGGGGGACGGGCCCGAAAGGCAGCGGCGGCACCGCGUCCGGUCCUCGAGCGUAUGGGGCUUCGUCACCCGCUCUUGUAGGCCCGGCCGGCGCUUGCCGACACAUCAAUCUUUUUUCCAGGUUGACCUCGGAUCAGGUAGGGAUACCCGCUGAACUUAAGCAUAUCAAUAAGCGGAGGA
rnacentral:misc_RNA from 1 species